AGCAACCACCGUAGACCUUAGCUUAUAAAUUAGCAUGAGUUGAGUAAGUUGUGAAAUGCACUAGCAAGAGAAAUGAUUUCUAAGAAGUGCUCCCUUAUUUGGGUUGUUCUCUUUUUUUGUAUGUUGAGUUUCUCUACUAAGGCAAUAGCAAGAAACAUUGUUGGUGCUUCUCAACUCUAUGCAGUUUCAGAUGAAGUGCGUCAAAAUAGAAAACUCCUUAACCCAGAUCAAAGAUGUAAGAGAGGAAGAAUUACAAUAGAGCGCGAAAAGGCACAAAAUGUUCCACGUUGCCACAAUUAUCUUUGAUAUGGAUGUUUGGUGUGUUACAUUUUUGGAUGAACAAGGAAAAUAUUUUAGAAAAGACAUUAAUAAGAUGGCACUGUUAAUUUAUUUGGUUCAUGUAAUAUUUGUUAUAAUAAGUUAAUGGAAUUUGCAUUGUCUAAUUAUCUACUACUACUCUCAUUGUUUUAGAGUUGCAUUUGCAAAAAAAAAAAAAUCCGAAAAAGACUUUCACCUUUAGUUUUCAAUGGAGCUAGCUUUAAUUGUAUUUUUUCAAUUAUAUCAUCUAAUUAAUAUUGUGUGCAUCA